AACUUACGGUUCCACGACGUUACUUUAUCGUAUUAUUCAUAUUCUUAUUCUUAUUAUUCAUAUUUUUCUGACCUUUUUUAUCUUUUUUUUUUACCCCAUUCAUUUUCGUCACUCCCACGGAAGAAGUUAAAGAAGAAGACAAGUGUGAAAAAAAUCUGUGGUGUUGUGUCACCAAUGAAUU